AGAGUUUGAUCCUGGCUCAGGAUGAACGCUAGCGACAGGCUUAACACAUGCAAGUCGAGGGAGAACCCUUCGGGGUGAAACCGGCGCACGGGUGAGUAACGCGUAUGUAACCUGCCUCUAAGUGGGGGAUAGCCCAGCGAAAGCUGGAUUGAUACCGCAUAAUGCUGAUGAUUGACAUCUUUUAUCAGCUAAAGAUUUAUUGCUUAGAGAUGGACAUGCGUUGGAUUAGCUAGUUGGCGGGGUAACGGCCCACCAAGGCGACGAUCCAUAGGGGUUCUGAGAGGAAGGUCCCCCACAUUGGUACUGAGACACGGACCAAACUCCUACGGGAGGCAGCAGUGAGGAAUAUUGGUCAAUGGGCGGAAGCCUGAACCAGCCAAGUCGCGUGAAGGAUGAAGGUAUUAUGUAUUGUAAACUUCUUUAGACGUAGAGAAAUAAGCCCCUCGCGAGGGGUGAUGCUAGUAUACGUAGAAUAAGGAUCGGCUAACUCCGUGCCAGCAGCCGCGGUAAUACGGAGGAUCCGAGCGUUAUCCGGAUUUAUUGGGUUUAAAGGGUGCGCAGGCGGCUUUUUAAGUCAGUGGUCAAAUCGUGGGGCUCAACCCCAUCCCGCCAUUGAUACUGGAGAGCUUGAUUGCGGUCGAGGUUGGCGGAAUUCGUCGUGUAGCGGUGAAAUGCAUAGAUAUGACGAAGAACACCGAUUGCGUAGGCAGCUGACCAGGCCGUAAAUGACGCUCAUGCACGAAAGUGCGGGGAUCGAACAGGAUUAGAUACCCUGGUAGUCCGCACAGUAAACGAUGAAUACUUGUUCUUGGCGAUACACUGUCAGGGGCAAAGCGAAAGCGAUAAGUAUUCCACCUGGGGAGUACGCCGGCAACGGUGAAACUCAAAGGAAUUGACGG
rnacentral:rRNA from 1 species